rnacentral:rRNA from 1 species
AUACGGAGGGGGCUAGCGUUGUUCGGAAUUACUGGGCGUAAAGCGCGCGCAGGCGGUCUUUUAAGUUGGAUGUGAAAGCCUACGGCUCAACCGUAGAACUGCAUCCAAAACUAUUAGACUAGAGUGUGGGAGAGGAAGAUGGAAUUAGUUGUGUAGGGGUAAAAUCCGUAGAGAUAACUAGGAAUACCAAAAGCGAAGGCAAUCUUCUGGAACACUACUGACGCUGAGGCGCGAAAGCGUGGGGAGCAAACAGGAUUAGAAACCCGUGUAGUCC